rnacentral:rRNA from 1 species
CCUACGGGUGGCAGCAGUGGGGAAUUUUGGACAAUGGGGGAAACCCUGAUCCAGCAACGCCGCGUGAAUGAAGAAGGCCUUAGGGUUGUAUUUUUACAAGUAGGUAUCGAGGGUACCAGGAGAAUAAGCACCGGCUAACUACGUGCCAGCAGCCGCGGUAAUACGUAGGGUGCGAGCGUUAAUCGGAAUUACUGGGCGUAAAGGGUGCGCAGGCGGAUAUAUAAGUUGGAUGUGAAAUCCCCGAGCUUAACUUGGGAAUGGCAUUCAAAACUGUAUAUCUAGAGUUUGUCAGAGGGGGGUAGAAUUCCAAGUGUAGCAGUGAAAUGCGUAGAGAUUUGGAGGAAUACCGGUGGCGAAGGCGGCCCCCUGGUAGAACUGACGCUCAGGCACGAAAGCGUGGGUAGCAAACAGGAUUAGAUACCCUUGUAGUC